GGAGGCUAACUGACACAGCAGCAUAGGUCUUCUCAGCCACCUGAACUUGGGGAACCUCUUACCAGGAGUUACUAUCUGAUUAGCAUCAUUCCCUGUGUAAUGGUGACAGAAUCAAGGUCCCUGCAUGCUAAAUUGUGACAAAGAGUUGGUAUCAUUUGAGCUCCUGGAACAGUUCCUGAUGCAGCUUCAGCACAAAGCAGGAGAUGGACAAAAAAAUAUGUUUUCAAUAAAUACCCAAAGACGUGAGUGAAGACAGCUACAUUAGAAUGUUGAAGUAUAGGAUGGGGAUUCCCCUAAUCAAAUCAAACAGGGAAGACUCCUUAGUUGUUUCAUCUGCUCAAGGGGGUUAAUAUCUCCUUCAUAGGGAUGUUCUGAGAAUGAAAUUAUAUGAUAGAUGAAAAGUACUUAGCACAAUGCUGAGCACAAAAUGAGCACUUAGUACGCUGUUCCAUUAUAAGCUGCAAACUCCACAUAAAGUGGUUUCUUAGAUACAACAAACCAUGUCUCUGAGAACAGAGGGGCAGUUGUUCUCCUGAAAUUAAA